UCUAAUUGCUGCCUGCCUUCACUGAAGCUCCAGCUGCCAAAUCCUAUCAGCUGAUAUCUGCGCUUGCUACAAUACUGGGUGACGCAAGCAUCAAAGGAACAAUCUGGUGGAAACAAGCUGUUCAUCCCUUGGGUGCCGGAGACCUUUAAAGGCCAUAUUCUGCCUUCAAUUGUGUCUCUCCAUAUAUAUAUCAUGACCCUGGGCAAACUCCCUACAGACCCAAGAAGCAGAGAGAUAAC